UCGAUCGAGCAGCUCGUUCACCAGAUCUGCCAUUAUGCAUACUAGGCUCCGAUCCUCUUCCGUGCCAUGGCAACCAACUCUCUUUUCCCUAUAUAUAAUCCGUGUGGCCAGUACAGGGGGGAUCUUGUAGUGUAGUGUACUCAUCAUACAGAUAGCUAGAAUCUAGAGCGUACACAAGUGGAGGCAUCUAUCUGCAGUCUCUUUCUUCUUCCUCUCGAUCGAUCGAAGCUCGUUGGGACGGCCUUUGUCCCUGUCCGGCGGCCACCUGCAGACUAUUAAGGCAAGUCGUCGACGGGGACUACUCGAAGGGGAGGAGAGGAGAUCAGGGUUCAGGAGACGACACGCCUGGCGUCACCUGCAGCAGAGAGGACCGGAGGAGGAAGAGGUGAUGGAUCAUCGAUCGAUGGCGGCAGCAGCCAUGUCCAUGUCCAUGUUCGGCAGGAGCAAGCAGAAGAAGGACGGUGAGCGUAGCAGUAGUAGUAUUGGCAAUCAGCAGGCGGCGGCGGCGGCUUUGCCGCCGAGGAUGAGGAAGGGGCCGUGGACGGAGGAGGAAGACGCUCAGCUGGUAUGGUUUGUGCGCUUGUUUGGUGAACGCCGGUGGGAUUUCUUAGCAAAGGUUUCAGGUUUGCGCGGUGGCGGGUGCAUCCCCAAGCAUGCAUAUAUAUAAAUAUAUUUAUAUGCGUGCUUGGGGAUUGAUCUAGAUGGGCAGUGGCGAGCGGUGUUAACCAUUUGCUUCCUCUCCUCCUCCUGCUUCUUCUCUAUGCAUGCGUGUCGGCGUACUGCAGGUCUGAGGCGCACCGGCAAGAGCUGCCGUCUCCGGUGGGUCAACUACCUCCACCCGGGCCUCCGCCGCGGCCGCAUCACCCCCGACGAGGAGCGCCUCAUCCUCGAGCUCCACGCGCAGUACGGCAGCAGGUGGUCGCGCAUCGCCAGGAGCCUCCCCGGCCGCACCGACAACGAGAUCAAGAACUACUGGAGGACGCGCACCAGGAAGCAGAAGGCGUCGGCGUCCUCGUCGUCGACCGUGACCACUACCGCGUCCUGCUCUGGCUCUCCGAGCAGCGGCAGCGGCCGCCUCACGGCCGCGUCGUCGUCGGCGGUGACCGAGUCGGCGCUGCGAGAAAGCGGCGGCGGCGACGACGACGAGGACGCCGAGCUCGACGAGGCGUCCACCACCGCGGCAAGCCAGCAUCGUCACCAGCAGCAGCAGCAGCAGGAAUCUUCGUACACUAUGGACCAGUUCUGGAACGAGAUCGCGGCGGCCGACGCUGCGGCGAGCUACAUGGUCGACGGGUGGGGAGGCGCGGGCCACCCCGCUGCCGCCGAGCCGCCGCUGCCGUCGUCGCCGGUGUGGGAGUACUGCUCCGAUUAUUCUCUCUGGAGGAUCGACGACGAGGAGUACUACAAGAAGAUGCUCGACGCUUCUUGAUCGAUCCAUGGCAUAUCGGAUCAUAAUCCACCAUAUGCAUCUUAGCCCUUAUGUAUUGAUUAUUAGUUAGCUUUACUUUCUGUCUUGCUACGAUUUCAAAGCUAGGUUCGUCUUUCGUUGCAUCUGUUCCUACGUUCUUUAUAUACUAUACUAGUAGUACGUAUAUAUAUUUGCAUAUGUAUACUGUAAUUACAUGUACCUUGCUUGACGCGUGCGUGCCAUGUACGUCAUCCAGAAGACAUAGAGUUCGCCAUCUUAUGCUGAAUCAGGUUUUCAGAUCAGAUCAGAUCAGAAAACAUCUGUAGCCUGUAGGAACCUUGUGUUCAUGCAUGUAAGAUUGAUGAUGGGAUUCUACUGAGUAUAUGAGAGCAUUUACAUUGAUUUGUAA